rnacentral:pre_miRNA from 1 species
AUCACCUGGGAAUCUUGUUAAAUGCAGAUUCUGAUUCAGUAGGUCUGGAGCGGAGUCCAAGAUUCUGCCUUUCUAACAAGAUCCCAAGUGAUGCUCU